AGGUUAAGCACUUAUGGUGUGGAGCCGAAGGGAAACCGAGUCUGAAUAGGGCAACUAGUUGUAUAUUGUAGACCCGAAACCGGGUGACCUAUCCAUGGCCAGGAUGAAGCGGAAGUAAAAUUCCGUGGAGGUCCGAACCACGUUGGUGUUGAAAAACCAUGGGAUGAGCUGUGGAUAGCGGAGAAAUUCCAAUCGAACUCGGAGAUAGCUGGUUCUCCUCGAAAUAGCUUUAGGGCUAGCGUCGGGUAAUUGAGUAGUGGAGGUAGAGCACUGAAUGGGCUAGGGGCUGACAACAGUUACUGAACCCUAUCAAACUCCGAAUGCCAUAUACUUGUACCCCGGCAGUCAGACUACGAAUGAUAAGAUCCGUGGUCAAAAGGGAAACAGCCCAGACCAUCAGCUAAGGUCCCAAAGUGUAAGUUAAGUGGGAAAGGAUGUGGGAUUUCUAAGACAACUAGGAUGUUGGCUUAGAAGCAGCCACUCAUUUAAAGAGUGCGUAAUAGCUCACUAGUCGAGAGAUCCUGCGCCGAAGAUGUAACGGGGCUCAAACUUACCACCGAAGCUAUGGAUGUGUACUAUGUACACGUGGUAGAGGAGCUUUCUGUACAGGUUGAAGUCAUACCGUAAGGAGUGGUGGACAGUACAGAAGUGAGAAUGCUGGCAUAAGUAGCGAAAAACAAGUGAGAAUCUUGUUGACCGAAUAUCUAAGGUUUCCUGGGGAAGGCUCGUCCUCCCAGGGUUAGUCGGGACCUAAGCCGAGGCCGAAAGGCGUAGGUGAUGGACAACUGGUUGAUAUUCCAGUACCACCAUAAUGCGUUUGACAAAUGGGAUGACGCAGGAGGAUAGGAUGUGCGCACUAUUGGAUGUGCGUCUAAGCACUUAGGGUGUUAAGUAGGCAAAUCCGCUUAACAUUAAGCCUGAGGUGUGAUGGGGAGCCUAUUUUGGCGAAGUAUCUGAUUCCACGCUGCCAAGAAAAGUCUCUAUGGAGCAAAAUGGUGCCCGUACCGCAAACCGACACAGGUAGAUGAGGAGAGAAUCCUAAGGUCGUCGGAAGAAUUAUUGCUAAGGAACUCGGCAAAUUGACCCCGUAACUUAGGGAGAAGGGGUGCCUACGAGAGUAGGCCGCAGUGAAUAGGCUCAAGCAACUGUUUAUCAAAAACACAGGUCUCUGCUAAAGCGUAAGCUGAUGUAUAGGGGCUGACGCCUGCCCGGUGCUGGAAGGUUAAGGGGAAUAGUUAGCGCAAGCGAAGCUAUGAACUUAAGCCCCAGUAAACGGCGGCCGUAACUAUAACGGUCCUAAGGUAGCGAAAUUCCUUGUCGGGUAAGUUCCGACCCGCACGAAUGGCGUAAUGAUUUGAGCACUGUCUCGGCAAUAAAUCCGGUGAAAUUGUAGUGCAAGUGAAGAUGCUUGCUACCCGCGGUUGGACGGAAAGACCCCGUAGAGCUUUACUGUAGCUUAGCAUUGAAUUUCGGUAUUGUCUGUACAGGAUAGGUGGGAGACUUAGAAGCGAGGGCGUCAGCUUUCGUGGAGUCGUCCUUGGGAUACCACCCUGACAGUACUGGAAUUCUAACUGGAGGCCAUGAAUCUGGUCACAGGACAUUGCUAGGUGGGCAGUUUGACUGGGGCGGUCGCCUCCUAAAAGGUAACGGAGGCGCCCAAAGGUUCCCUCAGCGCGGUCGGAAAUCGCGCGUAGAGUGCAAAGGCAGAAGGGAGCCUGACUGCGACACAUACAGGUGGAGCAGGGACGAAAGUCGGGCUUAGUGAUCCGGUGGUUCUGUAUGGAAGGGCCAUCGCUCAACGGAUAAAAGCUACCUCGGGGAUAACAGGCUGAUCUCCCCCAAGAGUCCACAUCGACGGGGAGGUUUGGCACCUCGAUGUCGGCUCGUCGCAUCCUGGGGCUGUAGUCGGUCCCAAGGGUUGGGCUGUUCGCCCAUUAAAGCGGCACGCGAGCUGGGUUCAGAACGUCGUGAGACAGUUCGGUCCCUAUCCGCCGUGGGCGUAGGAAAUUUGAGAGGAGCUGUCCUUAGUACGAGAGGACCGGGAUGGACCAACCUCUGGUGCACCAGUUGUUCCGCCAGGAGCACAGCUGGGUAGCUAUGUUGGGAAGGGAUAAACGCUGAAAGCAUCUAAGCGUGAAGCCCACCUCAAGAUUAGAUUUCCCAUAGCGUAAGCUAGUAAGACCCCUGAAAGACUAUCAGGUUGAUAGGUUGGAGGUGUAAGUACAGUAAUGUAUUCAGCUGACCAAUACUAAUAGGUCGAGGGCUUGAUCAAAUU
rnacentral:rRNA from 1 species